rnacentral:lncRNA from 1 species
AAUAACUAAAACCAGACAAUAAAAGAUUUUAUAAUAGAAAUAACUGAAUUUAUACUCAAAUAAUAUAAAUUAUACAACCAAGCAUUCGUAAGGGAGUUCCUCGACUCCACCUAUCCUAGGAAAAAUAAAUUACAAAAAGCAGAAAGAAAAGAACCUUGUUGGCCUUGGAGUUCCUUGGCCUCCUUGCCUCCUCCUUAGUGUUCUCCUAACUCUGGAAUGUGUUGGAAUAUUUUGGAAUGUUGGUGAAGGUGUUGGAAUAUUUUGGAAUGUUGGUGAAGGUGUUGGAAUGAAUAAUAGUGGAGGAAGGAGACUCUAUUUAU